GAUGAACGCUGGCGGCGUGCCUAAUACAUGCAAGUCGAGCGAACGGACGAGAAGCUUGCUUCUCUUAUGUUAGCGGCGGACGGGUGAGUAACACGUGGAUAACCUACCUAUAAGACUGGGAUAACUUCUGGAAACCGGAGCUAAUACCGGAUAAUAUUUUUAACCGCAUGGUUCAAAAGUGAAAGACGGUCUUGCUUUCACUUAUAGAUGGAUCCGCGCUGCAUUAGCUAGUUGGUAAGGUAACGGCUUACCAAGGCAACGAUGCAUAGCCGACCUGAGAGGGUGAUCGGCAACACUGGAACUGAGAAACGGUCAAGACUCCUACGGGAGGCAGCAGUAGGGAAUCUUCCGCAAUGGGCGAAAGCCUGACGGAGAAACGCCGCGUGAGGGAUGAAGGUCUUCGGAUCGUAAAACUCUGUUAUUAGGGAAGAACAUAUGUGUAAGUAACUGUGCACAUCUUGACGGUACCUAAUCAGAAAGCCACGGCUAACUACGUG
rnacentral:rRNA from 1 species